ACAUCCCGUUGACCACUGUAGAGAUAUAGUUUCCCCUUCGGGGGCAACGGUGACAGGUGGUGCAUGGUUGUCGUCAGCUCGUGUCGUGAGAUGUUGGGUUAAGUCCCGCAACGAGCGCAACCCUUGAUCUUAGUUGCCAUCAUUUAGUUGGGCACUCUAAGGUGACUGCCGGUGACAAACCGGAGGAAGGUGGGGAUGACGUCAAAUCAUCAUGCCCCUUAUGACCUGGGCUACACACGUGCUACAAUGGACGAUACAAACGGUUGCCAACUCGCGAGAGGGAGCUAAUCCGAUAAAGUCGUUCUCAGUUCGGAUUGUAGGCUGCAACUCGCCUACAUGAAGCCGGAAUCGCUAGUAAUCGCGGAUCAGCAUGCCGCGGUGAAUACGUUCCCGGGCCUUGUACACACCGCCCGUCACACCACGAGAGUUUGUAACACCCG
rnacentral:rRNA from 1 species